GCCUGGGUGGCUCAGUCAGUUGAGCGUCUGACUUCGGCUCAGGUCAUGAUCUCACGCCCGUGGGUUCGAGCCCCGCGUCGGGCU
rnacentral:tRNA from 1 species